rnacentral:rRNA from 1 species
UAUUGGUCAAUGGGCGGGAGCCUGAACCAGCCAAGUCGCGUGAGGGGGUAAGGCCCUACGGGUCGUAAACCUCUUUUGCCGGGGAGCAGGGCGGCGGACGUGUCCGCCGUCUGAGAGUACCCGGAGAAAAGUCAUCGGCCAACUCCGUGCCAGCGGCCGCGGUAAUACGGAGGAUGCGAGCGUUAUCCGGAUUUAUUGGGUUUAAAGGGUGCGUAGGCGGGCGUUUAAGUCAGCGGUAAAAAUUCGGGGCUCAACCCCGUCCGGCCGUUGAAACUGGGGGCCUUGAGUCGGCGAGAAGAAGGCGGAAUGCGUGGUGUAGCGGUGAAAUGCAUAGAUAUCACGCAGAACCCCGAUUGCGAAGGCAGCCUUCCGGCGCCCUACUGACGCUGAGGCACGAAAGUGCGGGGAUCGAACAGG